AAAGUGAAAAGUUGAAGAAAAUCAGGAAAGAGUCACUGCUUUCCAAUAUCCACAAUAUUUCAGUUUUUAUGGAAUGUCACAUUGCUCUUAUUUACAUCAAGAAGUAAAUGAGAAACAAAGGACUGCAGAUGCUGGAAUCUAGAUGAAAACUACGAUGAUGCUGGAGGAACUCAGCAGGCCAGGCAGUAUCCAUGGCAAAAAGCAGGCGGUCAAUGUUCCAGGUCAGGACCCUUCAAAGCAAACCCAUCAUAGCGUUUUUCAUUUACAUGGAUUACUAGUUUCAUACAUCACCACAUUAUUGCCCUACCCACUAUUGUUCUUCCUUUACUGUGACACAAGGUUCA